GCCCCCUGCCCAGUCCUUCGACAGUCAGGGCCAGCAGAAGCCAGGAGGGUCCGAGGAACCGUCACAGGCCAGAGGAGCCCGAGGAGACCUGAGGACCAGCCAACAGGAGACAUAAGCAUGGGCUUCAGCUCCUUUAAAAAAGGCCUUCCUGGGAGCUCCCGAUGUGGCACAGCAGAAACGACUCCGACGAGGAACCAUGAGGUUGCGGGUUCGAUCCCUGGCCUCGCUCAGUGGGUCAAGGAUCCGGCGUGGCCCUGAGCUGUGGUGUAGGCCGCCGACGGGGCUCAGAUCCCGCAGGGCUGUGGCUGUGGUGGAGGCCGGCGGCUGCAGCUCCGACAGGACCCCUAGCCUGGGAACCUCCAUAUGCCACGGGUGUAGCCCUAAAAAGCAAAAAAAAAACAAAAAGGCGUUCCUUGGAGUGUCAGCCAGCCAGCUCUCAGGUAAGUUGUGACCUUGGCCGAGUUGCGGCCUCGGAGCCGGGAGGAGGGCGGGGCCUGUGCAGGUGGUGGACGGACGGUGCCUCCCCUUCUCGACCCCGUGGCAGGGACUGUCACGCGCGCCUCCAUCCCUGGGUCUGAGGCCGUGGACAGGUGGGUGGCAUCUGUCCCAGAGGCAGGAAGCCUCAUUUAGGACACGUGGAACUCGAGGGCCUCAGGGACAGAGUCGGGUGGACAGAGGGACCAGUGGGCGGCCCUCGGGAAGGAGAGUGGCCGGAAUAACCACAUUUUAACCCAUCGUAAUGUGGACGGUUUUGUUAUGGAAAACACCAGAAAGCCAUUAAUGUAAAUCAUGAAAUAUUCAGCAAGGAAGUCGCUUAAAUGUCUGACGUUCCCAGAAGCGGGCGGCCGAGUGCUUCCUGCGUCAGACGCCCCAACAGCAGCCCUUCUGCAGGGCUCUUAUCUCAGAACCAGGAAGCCUUAGCUCCCCGCCUCGCGUGGGGCGGACGCCGGGCUGAGGGCAGGGAGCAGGGCCGGGCCCGGGGCCCUCGCAGCCAUGUCCCCGAGCGCGCUGGCUCUCGGGGGUCCCGCUGAGCCCUGGGAUCCCAGCUCACACAGGCGGACCGGCUCCAGGGCCCCCGCGUCUGCCCUCCCUCGGAUCCCGCCUGAGCAGCCCCGUGCGGUCACGUCCUCCAGCCGCGCGGCCCUGCCUUCGGCGAUGCGACAGCAGGGGAGCUGCCGGAGGGCUCACUCAAGGCCAGGAUUUGGACCCAGACCUGUUUGGCUGCAAAACCGUCUCAACCACACCACACGCGUCUCUGAGCAGCCCCUGCUGCAAAAACACACGAUGGAGCAAAACAAACACCCCAAGACGGGAAGAAGACGGGGUGGGCCGGCCGGGAGGGCUGUCGUCCAACAAGCGGGAAAGAGCAAGGGGAGGGCGGGGAGAAGGGGGCGCAGCCGCGGCAGCAGGCAGAGGGGGGCCCCGAGGACGGAGCAGAGUCCCCCUGGGCCCCAGCAGGCCCACGUCUGGGUCUGUACCCCAGAGACCUGAAAGCGGGCCUGGGAGAGAUUCUGAACACGGGUGCCCGGGACCGCCUUAUUCACAGCAGCCGAAGGCGGACGCCACCCUCGCGUCCCUGACAGCAGUGGCUGAGCCAAGCGGGUCCAACCCUACGGUGGAAAUGACUCAUCCUUGAAAAGGAAGGGAUCCCGACACAGCUACAACGAGGGUGGACCCCAAAACGACCGCGAAACGAGCCCCACACGGAGGACAGACACGGCGCAAAUCCCCUCGUGCCAGGGCCCUAGAGAGUCAGGUCCACAGAGACAGGACACGGAUGGCAGGGUCCAGGGCUGGGGGAGCGGGAGCUAGUGUCCAGUGGGGACGGAGGUGACAUUUAGGGAGGUGGGACCGUCCUGCAGACAGAGGGUGAGUGUACUUAACGCCCCCUAACUGUGCACUUCAGGGGGGUAAGACGGGGGCAGAUCCCGCCAUGGCGCAGCAGAAAUGAAUCUGACUCGUGUCCAUGGGAUGUGGGUUUGAUCCCUGGCCUCGCUCCGUGGGUUAAGGAUCCAGUGUUGCCGUGAGCUGUGGUUGCAGACGCAGCUCGGAUCCUGUGUUGCUGUGGCUGUGGUGCAGGCCGGCAGCUGCAGCUCCUAUUCGACCCCUAGCCUGGGAACUUCAUAUGCCGCGGGCGUGGCCCUGAAAGAGGAAAAAAGGAGAGUUGGAGUUCCCGUGCGGCGUUGCGGGUUAAGGAGCCGAUGUGGUCACGGCAGCAGCUCUGGUCACUGCGGUGGGGCGGGUUGAUCCCUGGCCCAUGAUCCCCUUCCACUUGAUGUUGGCACUGCCAAAAAAAAAAAAAAAA
rnacentral:lncRNA from 1 species